rnacentral:rRNA from 1 species
AGUGAACGCUGGCGGUAGGCCUAACACAUGCAAGUCGAACGGCAGCACAGUAAGAGCUUGCUCUUACGGGUGGCGAGUGGCGGACGGGUGAGGAAUACAUCGGAAUCUACUUUUUCGUGGGGGAUAACGUAGGGAAACUUACGCUAAUACCGCAUACGACCUACGGGUGAAAGCAGGGGAUCUUCGGACCUUGCGCGAUUGAAUGAGCCGAUGUCGGAUUAGCUAGUUGGCGGGGUAAAGGCCCACCAAGGCGACGAUCCGUAGCUGGUCUGAGAGGAUGAUCAGCCACACUGGAACUGAGACACGGUCCAGACUCCUACGGGAGGCAGCAGUGGGGAAUAUUGGGCAAUGGGCGCAAGCCUGAUCCAGCCAUACCGCGUGAGUGAAGAAGGCCUUCGGGUUGUAAAGCCCUUUUGUUGGGGAAGAAAAGCAGCGUGUUAAUACCCCGCUGUUCUGACGGUACCCAAAGAAUAAGCACCGGCUAACUUCGUG